rnacentral:rRNA from 1 species
GCAUAUCAAUAAGCGGAGGAAAAGAAACCAACAGGGAUUCCCCAGUAACGGCGAAGUGAAGCGGGAACAGCUCAAAUUUGAAAUCUGGCCCUCGGGUCCGAGUUUGUAAUUUGUAGAGGAUGCUUUUGGUGCGGUGCCUUCCGAGUUCCCUGGAACGGGACGCCUUAGAGGGUGAGAGCCCCGUACGGUUGGACGCCUAGCCUCUGUAAAGCUCCUUCGACGAGUCGAGUAGUUUGGGAAUGCUGCUCUAAAUGGGAGGUAUAUUUCUUCUAAAGCUAAAUACCGGCCAGAGACCGAUAGCGCACAAGUAGAGUGAUCGAAAGAUGAAAAGCACUUUGAAAAGAGGGUUAAAUAGCACGUGAAAUUGUUGAAAGGGAAGCGUUUAUCACCAGACUUUUUCUAGGGGGAUCAUCCGGGGUUCUCCCCGGUGCACUUCCCCUAGUUGAGGCCAGCAUCGGUUUUCGGAGGGGGAUAAAAGUUUCGGGAAUGUGACUCCCCCGGGAGUGUUAUAGCCCGUUACAUAAUACCCUUCUGGGGACCGAGGUUCGCGCAUCUGCAAGGAUGCUGGCAUAAUGGUGAUCAACGACCCGUCUUGAAACACGGACCAAGGAGUCGAACAUUUAUGCGAGUGUUUGGGUGUUAAACCCUCACGCGUAAUGAAAGUGAACGGAGGUGAGAGCCCUUACGGGUGCAUCAUCGACCGAUCCUGAUGUCUUCGGAUGGAUUUGAGUAAGAGCAUAACUGUUCGGACCCGAAAGAUGGUGAACUAUGCGUGGAUAGGGUGAAGCCAGGAGAAAUCCUGGUGGAGGCUCGCAGCGGUUUCUGACGUGCAAAUCGAUCGUCAAAUCUGCGCAUGGGGGGCGAAAGACUAAUCGAACCAUCUAGUAGCUGGUUACCGCCGAA